UACGUAGGGGGCUAGCGUUAUCCGGAAUUACUGGGCGUAAAGGGUGCGUAGGUGGUUUCUUAAGUCAGAGGUGAAAGGCUACGGCUCAACCGUAGUAAGCCUUUGAAACUGGGAAACUUGAGUGCAGGAGAGGAGAGUGGAAUUCCUAGUGUAGCGGUGAAAUGCGUAGAUAUUAGGAGGAACACCAGUUGCGAAGGCGGCUCUCUGGUCUGUAACUGACGCUGAGGUUCGAAAGCGUGGGUAGCAAACAGG
rnacentral:rRNA from 1 species